UUCAGGGGUAAACCUGAGAAGCCCGAAAGGUCGAAUGGGGAAAUUCAUUCGCGUUUCGGCCGCCGGCGUGGUACGGUCGAGUGACGGACGGCGUACGCGUCGUCCGCGCCUUCCGUUCUUCGAACCGGCGUCGAACGCGUGCACUUUUCCCCUAGUAGGACGUCGCGAUCCGUUGGGUGUCGGUCUACGGCUCGCGGUGGAGCCCGUGCGGUCGCUUCGCGGCGUAUCGCACGGACCCGCGGUGUCCCGACCGACUCGCUCGACGGUAUACAGAUGGCGCGGGGCCGCUACCUUUCAGUUAGCGUUCGGCCCGCGGCAAGCGCGUUCGUUGUUUGACGGCGAUCGGACCUGGUGCCGGUCCCGUCCGCGAACGACUGUUGGCUGCGGUGUUCUCGAACAGACCUCGAAUCGAAACGCCGAUCUGCGACGCUAUAGCUUUGGGUACUUUCAGGACCCACGGACCAAGGAGUCUAGCAUGUACGCGAGUCAUUGGGACAUAACUAAACCUAAAGGCGUAAUGAAAGUGAAGGUCCGCCUUGCGCGGAUCGAGGGAGGACGAGCGGCGUAGAUCGCCCCUAAAAGCGGCCGCUCCGCACUCCCGGGGCGUCUCGUUCUCAUCGCGAGAAGAGGCGCACCAAGAGC
rnacentral:rRNA from 1 species